rnacentral:rRNA from 1 species
GCUGAAAACCAAAUCACCCCAAAUGCCCCCAGCCUUGUCAGGGCUUGGAAGCUAAGCAGCUUCGAGCCUGGUUAGAACUUGGAUGGGAGACUUCCUGGGAAUAGCAGGUGGGCU